UGGGGAAUUUUGGACAAUGGGCGAAAGCCUGAUCCAGCAAUGCCGCGUGUGUGAAGAAGGCCUUCGGGUUGUAAAGCACUUUUGUCCGGAAAGAAAUCCUUGGCUCUAAUACAGUCGGGGGAUGACGGUACCGGAAGAAUAAGCACCGGCUAACUACGUGCCAGCAGCCGCGGUAAUACGUAGGGUGCAAGCGUUAAUCGGAAUUACUGGGCGUAAAGCGUGCGCAGGCGGUUUGCUAAGACCGAUGUGAAAUCCCCGGGCUCAACCUGGGAACUGCAUUGGUGACUGGCAGGCUAGAGUAUGGCAGAGGGGGGUAGAAUUCCACGUGUAGCAGUGAAAUGCGUAGAGAUGUGGAGGAAUACCGAUGGCGAAGGCAGCCCCCUGGGCCAAUACUGACGCUCAUGCACGAAAGCGUGGGGGAGCAAACAGGAUUAGAUACCCUGGUAGUCCACGCCCUAAACGAUGUCAACUAGUUGUUGGGGAUUCAUUUCCUUAGUAACGUAGCUAACGCGUGAAGUUGACCGCCUGGGGAGUACGGUCGCAAGAUUAAAACUCAAAGGAAUUGACGGGGUCAUAGCUGUUUCC
rnacentral:rRNA from 1 species